rnacentral:rRNA from 1 species
AUACAUGCAAGUCGAACGAGGUGCUUUUGUAGUAAUACGAGAGUAUCCUAGUGGCGAACGGGUGAGUAACGCGUUGGUGACCUACCCCAAAGUGUGGGAUAACAGUCCGAAAGGAUUGCUAAUACCGCAUGUGGUUAUUGGAUCUAGAAACCGAUAACUAAAGGAGCAAUUCGCUUUGGGAGGGACCUGCGUCCCAUCAGCUAGUUGGUGAGGUAAUGGCUCACCAAGGCUACGACGGGUAGGGGACCUGAGAGGGUGACCCCCCACAAUGGAACUGAAACACGGUCCAUACACCUACGGGUGGCAGCAGUAGGGAAUAUUGCACAAUGGGCGAAAGCCUGAUGCAGCAACGCCGCGUGCACGAUGAAGGCCUUCGGGUCGUAAAGUGCUUUUCUGGGAGAUGAGAAAGGACAGUAUCCCAGGAAUAAGUCUCGGCUAACUACGUGCCAGCAGCCGCGGUAAAACGUAGGAGGCGAGCGUUAUCCGGAUUCACUGGGCGUAAAGCGCGUGCAGGUGGCUUGGUAAGUUAGGCGUGAAAUCUCCCGGCUCAACUGGGAGAGGUCGUCUAAUACUACCGGGCUAGAGAACAGAAGAGGAAGAUGGAAUUCCCGGUGUAGUGGUGAAAUGCGUAGAUAUCGGGAGGAACACCAGUGGCGAAGGCGAUCUUCUGGUCUGUUUCUGACACUCAGACGCGACAGCUAGGGUAGUAAACGGGAUUAGAGACCCCGGUAAUCCUAGCCGUAAACGAUGUGAACUUGGCGUUGGUGGGUUAAACUCCAUCAGUGCCGAAGCAAACGCGAUAAGUUCACCGCCUGGGGACUACGGCCGCAAGGUUAAAACUCAAAGGAAUUGACGGGGGCCCGCACAAGCAGCGGAGCGUGUGGUUUAAUUCGAUGC